AUAAAAUAAAAAUAAAGCCGAAAUUGUAUUUAUCUCCCUCCAUUGACAGACCACUUUUGAGACUCUGUGUAUAAUCUACUUUCAUUAUAAUUUUCAUAAAAUUUCGGGGGAGGGGGGUUGAACUCCUUAAAUCCCCCCUUAUACAUGCGUCUGAUCAAAACUCUUACUUUAACUCUUCUCAACGCCCGUUCCACCUCUAUAAUCACUUUUAAUUAUUAACUUU